ACAAAUCUAAUGCAUUGUCUUCAAAUUUAAUACUGAUUAAAAUUUCAAAAAAUAAAAAAUAAAAAAUUUAUGUCAUGUUGAAGUACACAAAUCUAAUGCAUUGUCUUCAAUACAAUGCAAAACAGAACCAAAAUCAAUUUAAGAAUAUAAUGGAUGAGAAAAAAAACUGCAACCUAGCGUCAUAUGGAAAAAUGAUGAGUGAAAACGACAAUGCCAUAGCAAAAACUUCAAAAAAGCAGAUGAAUACAAACAUGGAAGUAACUGUCAUUUUGAUGCUAUUAUACAUUCCAAGUAGAUAAUUAGCAUGAUUCAAGCCUUGUGGUUGAUAGUUUUAAUGUUACAACACUGAGAAUUGCAAGGUAAGUAUUAAAGAAAUAAAGGGCAACAGUCCGUUACCCUGUGCAAAGCAUCAUAGUUUUAGCCAAAUCAAGUUCUGUUUGAACCCCACAUAUAACACUACAUCCAUCAGAGUUUUCAUAUCUAUGACCCAGUGAUGCAUAAUUCAUUGUAGCAACAUUUUGAUGUCCUUUCAAUAGAUACGCAUGAUUCAAGAAUGUAUUCAGGGUUAGCAAAAGUUUAUCAUAUGAGAAUGAAUAGCAUAAAGAUCAGGAAAGGAUAAAACUAAAUACGUGGGCAUGGAAGCAAUUCAUAAAAACUUGAAAGAGUGGUGUGAGUGUCCUCUGUAAAUGGUGACUCUGGAAAUUAAUCAAAUCUGGAACUCAACUGGAGAAUAUCCUCAGCAAUAUAUCAAUGUUGUCAUAUGGGAAAGAUGGAACAAAUACGAGAUGGACAAAUAUUUGAAGGCCUAACCACAUAACAAUACUAAACAAAAAUCUACUAAGGCUAGUGGAAAUUAGUAUUCAGGUCGAUAUGUGAAAUAAGGAUUGACUGUAACUGCUAAAACAGAAAACACAAUAAAAUACCAGAUUCAAUACUUUCAUAUGCUGAUGGCAGGAUGCUGUUGGAAAAAUCUGCUUAGAUGUUAAAGGAACAAUCGGCUUAGAGUUUUCAUUAUAAAGGAACAAUCGGCUUAGAUGUUAAGAACUUCUAUCUGAAAUAGAAGUACGUGUAAAUUAAUUUAUGAUGGAAAUUAUUACAUCCUAGAACAAAAUUAUAAAUAUGUGAAUAAAAGAAACCAAAAAAGAAAAAUGCAAAAGGGACAAUUGUGAGGGAAAGAAGGUUGAGAAUUUAUGGAAAUUUAAAAAAAAAAAAAAUAUCGAAUACAUCAGAGGACAGACAACAUAAAUGGGGGGCAAUAGUUCCAGCAACUAGACCUCCAAAAUCAACUAAACACUUAAGCCCCAUCACUCAUCACAAAUAGAAGAACUGAUGCACCAAAUGAUACCAAUUUCUUUGCAGACACCGAUUAUCUCUAAAAAACUUCUACAUAAAUUCAACUCGAACGUUUCUUAGCACAUGAUUUCUUUUUCUCUCAGUUAGUAGUAAGCAUACACUGGAUAACUUACUUUUAUGUUGAACUUUUCUUAAUCUGCGAGCGGUAAAAUUCCACAUACAUUCGGACUGACACGGUGAAAGCAAUAGACGAAUAUAGAAAUGGGAUAAAGAGGUAGGAGGGAGGCAACUAGCGGCGAGUGGCAAUGAAACCGGAAGGCAGAAGCCCUCUCAAUGAACAUGUGAGAUCUGGAAAGCCCAAGCCAUAGUAGGGAUGCUGUGAGAGACGAAAUAGGGUUAGGGAUUUGCAAAGAAGGGAAAUGAAGCAUUUGGAUUUCAGCAGGGAUGAGAAAAGAAUGUGGGAAAUGAAAAUUUAAGUGGGAGGGAAAUUGCAUAGAGUUUAG
rnacentral:lncRNA from 1 species